CACUGGAGAACUUCAUUGAGCAGUGAAGCACAAAGUCUUUGAUUCUGUGUAGUCUUGGGAGAGAUUGUGCUCAAAGGCCCAAUGGAGACAGGUGUGUAGAGGUCAGAUCCUGGCUGCAGUGAAUCACAGCUGAGAAAGCAGCGGCGCAGCUCGGUUUUGUCUGGACAGUUCCCAGGAAGCAAGGCUUCAGCUCUCACAGCAGUGGCUCCAGAAGCGAAAUGUUGUAAACAAAAAACGCCCUCACUUCCAACUCCUUUUGGCUUUUGUGUCCAAGCUGAUGAUACAUGGUCAAUGUGGGUCCACUGUCCUAUUAGCGUCCCCUGCUGUGAUCCUGCCAAGUGCCAGCCUGCUGCCUCAGGCUGGGGUGCUGAGAGACAGCGCUGGUGCUGAGCCAGCCCUGCUCUGCAGCAGCCACAACUCUGGGCUGUUACCAACUCCCUUCCAGCUCCUGGGGCAAAGCACAGCCCUGGGAGGGCUGCCUGGGGAAAAUGAGCUCCAGCUCAGCCAGACCCAAUAUAAUCAUCUGGAUGAUUCAUCUGGGAUUCUCAGCAUAGGGAGAACAUUAGGACCAUUGAGAGAAGGAAAGCUGAAUUGCUCUGAAUGACUGACACAGGCUUUAUUCUGCUAUGGCUGCUGUGGAGGAUGCUGGAUCAGAAAAGUGGUGUGUCGGGUACCAGCAGCAAGUUUUGGGAACCAUCCAAGCCCUAUUUGAGGACCUGGAAUAUAACGGAUUAUUUGGUAAGAAAACCAAAAUCUUUGAGUCUAUGGGAAUCUCUUUUAUCAUUUGGAGAGGAUCUUAGAAUUACUGCCA